UACGUAGGGGGCAAGCGUUGUCCGGAUUUAUUGGGCGUAAAGAGCUCGUAGGCGGUUUGUCGCGUCUGCUGUGAAAACCCGAGGCUCAACCUCGGGCCUGCAGUGGGUACGGGCAGACUAGAGUGCGGUAGGGGAGAUUGGAAUUCCUGGUGUAGCGGUGGAAUGCGCAGAUAUCAGGAGGAACACCGAUGGCGAAGGCAGAUCUCUGGGCCGUAACUGACGCUGAGGAGCGAAAGCGUGGGGAGCGAACAGG
rnacentral:rRNA from 1 species